GUAGCUUAACGGUAAAGUACCCAACCAGCAAUUGGGGGAUCUGGGUUCAAGUCCUGGC
rnacentral:tRNA from 1 species